rnacentral:rRNA from 1 species
UGCAGAGGGGGCAAGCGUUGUUCGGAAUUACUGGGCGUAAAGGGCGCGUAGGCGGCCUCUUAAGUCGAACGUGAAAUCCCCGGGCUCAACCCGGGAACUGCGUCCGAUACUGGGAGGCUUGAAUCCGGGAGAGGGAUGUGGAAUUCCAGGUGUAGCGGUGAAAUGCGUAGAUAUCUGGAGGAACACCGGUGGCGAAGGCGGCAUCCUGGACCGGUAUUGACGCUGAGGCGCGAAAGCUAGGGGAGCAAACAGG